ensembl:snRNA U1 U1 spliceosomal RNA
AUACUUAACCUGGCAGGGGAGAUAACAUGAUCAGGAAGAUGGUGAAGAUGGUUUUCCCAUGGUGAGACUUACCCAUUGUACUGUGGAUGUGCUGACCCCUGCUAUUUCCCGAGAUGAGGGAAAGUGGACUACAAAAUUUGUGGUACUGGGAGACUUUGUUCUCGCUCUCUCCUG